CGCGUUUUUCGCCCAGGCGGAGCUCGACCGCCGUUUGAAGUGAUGUACGGUCUCGUCGACGCACACCGCGACACCCAUGGGGUCGAGCCGAUCUGCAAGGUUCUGCAGGUUGCCCCG
rfam:Thioflavicoccus mobilis 8321, complete genome.